UCAUUGAUCUUGCACUUGCCAAAAGCCCCCUUGCGUUGCUUCCAGUAUCACGGGCCUGUUACCGAUUUUAUCCCCUGCCAUCAAGUGCUUCUCCAAGCCCAGACACCAUGACUAGCAGAUAUACAUCACUCCAUCAGGUCACUGCAAUAGUGCUAUAAUUAUAGUUUGGUUUGCCAUUUUUAUUUGACUAUUCAAGCUAUCGGCAAAUGUCUAGUCACAACAUAGCACACCGCCAAAUAAGUAUAUAAACACCAGUGGUUCACAUUUGUGCUUUUCGCAGCAGGCUCUUCAGGUAGCCAAUUGAGUAUGGAUAGGUCUGUUGCCGACAAGAAUAUUUCUGCUACACCGCACGAAACCAGGAUUUCUCUUUUGUUGUGACUGGGCCAUGUGAAAGAGCUUUCUGGGGAGGAACACCCAAUGAAAUGAUUUUCAGUGAUUCUGUUGCUUGAAUUGUAUUUUCUUCUUCACUUUCAACUGUAUCAAGGCAGGAGGCAGUCUGCAACAGGCAGCCUAGGAGCCUGCCUAUAUGUAAUCCGUAGAACCAACGAAGGUUCGUGACACCACCC
rnacentral:sRNA from 1 species